UACAGAGGGUGCGAGCGUUAAUCGGAUUUACUGGGCGUAAAGCGUGCUUAGGCGGUUGGGUAAGUCGGAUGUGAAAGCCCUGGGCUUAACCUGGGAAUGCCAUUCGAUACUGCCCGACUCGAGUUCGGUAGAGGGCGGUGGAACUCCAGGUGUAGCGGUGAAAUGCGUAGAUAUCUGGAAGAACACCAAUGGCGAAGGCAACCGCCUGGGCCUGAACUGACGCUGAGGCACGAAAGCGUGGGGAGCAAACAGG
rnacentral:rRNA from 1 species